GUCACGCGGUCACGUGACUUGCGUGCGUCAUUACGUCACGCGGUCACGUGACUUAACGCGGCUGUCAGACGAGCAUAAAACCCGGAAGUCGGCUGCUACCGGUGAGAGCGAGAGGGACACACUGUGAGGUUGCUGCAGGAGCCGACUACCGGAGCCGUGGGUCGUCCGCGGCAGUGUUUGAGAGUGAUUUAUCUGCGGAAUUGGCCAGGUUGGAUGGCGAGCUAUAGAGCCCUGAACUAGAGUCUGAAGCUUUAUGCCUGGAACCGAACUAGCUGAACUGAAUCCACCCAACCGAACCCCGGGCUGGUAGGAGGCUUCUCGGCAGCCGCCCUCUGUUUUCCCUUCUUUUUGCCAAAACGCAACGAGUUCAUUGCAGUCCUCC